rnacentral:rRNA from 1 species
UACGAAGGGGGCUAGCGUUGCUCGGAAUGACUGGGCGUAAAGGGCGCGUAGGCGGAUGGCACAGUCAGAUGUGAAAUUCCCGGGCUUAACCUGGGGGCUGCAUUUGAUACGUGUUGUCUAGAGUGAGGAAGAGGGUUGUGGAAUUCCCAGUGUAGAGGUGAAAUUCGUAGAUAUUCGCAAGAACACCAGUGGCGAAGGCGGCUCACUGGCCCGAUACUGACGCUGAGGCACGAAAGCGUGGGGAGCAACAGGAU